GCACGUCCAAACGAACAAAACAUUGUAAAACUAUUAAUUCCGAUUGCUCUCUUACCAUCCAAAAGCGCAUUGGAGGGAUUCGAGGUAGAAUUUAGUUUUCAUUCCCGCAUUAAUUUUUUUAAAUGGUCAUUUAUUGCUUUUAUAUUAUGGUUUUUUAAAGCACUUGAAUUGCGUCUUAUGCAUUAAAAUUUUGCCCUGACUUCGUUCCCUAUCUCAAGCUGUAUAUUUAUACAUAUUGUCGCGCGGUCACUCAACCGCGCUAGUAUUUCGGCGACAAAGCCCGCUCUGGUAUGCAGAGUGACGGAGUAUGAAGGGCAGCCGCACGCUAUUUCAGGGCAAGACAUCCGGUCGCAUGCUAUAUAGGGACCAAAAGUCGGGACGACGGGGGGCAGUUUAUUGUCAGAAUUGUUAUUCGCAUGUGCUUCGAGUUAAUACACUUGUACCCUCUCCAAACGGAGUUGGGACAAUAUAAUUCAUUGGAAUAAAAUUCAAACUAAUUUAGACCUUAUGCUUCUCUGUAUUAUUCUUUAAAUAGUUAAUUCGAACUAAUUCGGUGGCCUUACUGGAAGCUGAAGGCGAAGUUGUUAAGGAAGCAUUCCCCAGAAUUUUCGAAUACUUUCAAAACUACUGGACGGUCAUCGUAAUUUAGAAGAAAUUGUGUGUAAGCGGGGAUGGAAGGCGGACGAAAAAUGAAGUUGAAAAUUUUCAUCGUUGGUUUUAGGUGAACGGGACGUUCUGAAAUAUAGCAAACUUGCAGCUAACAACAAAUUAAUAAGAAGACCUCACAACAGUUCCAAAUCAUUGCUAUAUAGACCGCACCAUCAUUGCAAAUCAAGAGUUGCUGACAAGUGACUGCGUCAACGUAUACUAUUUCCUAGAGAUGUGUUCUUAUUUUUUCGAACCGGCACGUCAGUCGGGGACAAUUCGCCAAUGGACCUUCGUUCCAGAAUUGGAUGCCGUAAUGCCAUAGGGACGGAAGAAUCUUGUAUUUUUUUUCUGAAUCACGUAAAAAGGGAGCUACAAACCGUUUUCUCUCCCAUGCAGUCAAUUAUUUCUGUAAAAAAAAUUAAUUUGAAUAAUUUCUGGGUAUUUGGUGAAUAAAAAUUUAUGGUAGUACCAAACACAUUGCGUGGUAUUGGUCGAUUUAAUUUUCCUGCCAUC